rnacentral:rRNA from 1 species
CCUGGCUCAGGACGAACGCUGGCGGCGUGCUUAACACAUGCAAGUCGAACGGAAAGGCCCUGCUUUUGUGGGGUGCUCGAGUGGCGAACGGGAGAGUAACACGUGAGUAACCUGCCCUUGACUUUGGGAUAACUUCAGGAAACUGGGGCUAAUACCGGAUAGGAGCUCCUGCUGCAUGGUGGGGGUUGGAAAGUUUCGGCGGUUGGGGAUGGACUCGCGGCUUAUCAGCUUGUUGGUGGGGUAGUGGCUUACCAAGGCUUUGACGGGUAGCCGGCCUGAGAGGGUGACCGGCCACAUUGGGACUGAGAUACGGCCCAGACUCCUACGGGAGGCAGCAGUGGGGAAUAUUGCACAAUGGGCGGAAGCCUGAUGCAGCAACGCCGCGUGCGGGAUGACGGCCUUCGGGUUGUAAACCGCUUUCGCCUGUGACGAAGCGUGAGUGACGGUAAUGGGUAAAGAAGCACCGGCUAACUACGUGCCAGCAGCCGCGGUGAUACGUAGGGUGCGAGCGUUGUCCGGAUUUAUUGGGCGUAAAGGGCUCGUAGGUGGUUGAUCGCGUCGGAAGUGUAAUCUUGGGGCUUAACCCUGAGCGUGCUUUCGAUACGGGUUGACUUGAGGAAGGUAGGGGAGAAUGGAAUUCCUGGUGGAGCGGUGGAAUGCGCAGAUAUCAGGAGGAACACCAGUGGCGAAGGCGGUUCUCUGGGCCUUUCCUGACGCUGAGGAGCGAAAGCGUGGGGAGCGAACAGGCUUAGAUACCCUGGUAGUCCACGCUGUAAACGGUGGGUACUAGGUGUGGGGUCCAUUCCACGGGUUCCGUGCCGUAGCUAACGCUUUAAGUACCCCGCCUGGGGAGUACGGCCGCAAGGCUAAAACUCAAAGGAAUUGACGGGGCCCCGCACAAGCGGCGGAGCAUGCGGAUUAAUUCGAUGCAACGCGUAGAACCUUACCUGGGUUUGACAUGGAUCGGGAGUGCUCAGAGAUGGGUGUGCCUUUUUUGGGGUCGGUUCACAGGUGGUGCAUGGCUGUCGUCAGCUCGUGUCGUGAGAUGUUGGGUUAAGUCCCGCAACGAGCGCAACCCUAAUCACUAGUGAAUUC